GAGUUUGAUCCUGGCUCAGAGUGAACGCUGGCGGCGUGCUUAACACAUGCAAGUCGCACGAGAACGCUUCUGCUUGCAGAGGCAAGUAAAGUGGCGCACGGGUGAGUAACACGUGGGUAACCUACCUCCGAAUUGGGGAUAACGUUGCGAAAGCGACGCUAAUACCGAAUGAUAUCCUGGGAUUCUUGGAUCCUUGGAUCAAAGGUGCCUCUUCAUGAAAGCUACCGUUUGGAGAUGAGCCCGCGUCCCAUUAGCUUGUUGGUAGGGUAACGGCCUACCAAGGCUUCGAUGGGUAGCUGGUCUGAGAGGAUGAUCAGCCACACUGGAACUGACACACGGUCCAGACUCCUACGGGAGGCAGCAGUGAGGAAUUUUGCGCAAUGGGGGAAACCCUGACGCAGCAACGCCGCGUGAGUGAUGAAGGCCUUCGGGUCGUAAAGCUCUGUCAAGUGGGAAGAACCUGUGAACGGCCAAUACCUGUUUACACUGACGGUACCACUGAAGGAAGCACCGGCUAACUCCGUGCCAGCAGCCGCGGUAAUAC
rnacentral:rRNA from 2 species